rnacentral:rRNA from 1 species
UUCGGAGGGUGCAAGCGUUAUCCGGAAUCACUGGGUUUAAAGGGUGCGUAGGCGGCUAUGUAAGUCAGUUGUGAAAUACCUCGGCUUAACCGAAGGAAGUGCGAUUGAUACUGCGUAGCUUGAAUCAGGUUGAGGUAGGCGGAAUGUGACAUGUAGCGGUGAAAUGCUUAGAUAUGUCAUAGAACACCGAUUGCGAAGGCAGCUUACUGGGCUUUGAUUGACGCUGAGGCACGAAAGCGUGGGGAGCAAACAGG